GACGAACGCUGGCGGCGUGCUUAACACAUGCAAGUCGAACGGAAAGGCCCUGCUUUUGUGGGGUGCUCGAGUGGCGAACGGGUGAGUAACACGUGAGUAACCUGCCCUUGACUUUGGGAUAACUUCAGGAAACUGGGGCUAAUACCGGAUAGGAGCUCCUGCUGCAUGGUGGGGGUUGGAAAGUUUCGGCGGUUGGGGAUGGACUCGCGGCUUAUCAGCUUGUUGGUGGGGUAGUGGCUUACCAAGGCUUUGACGGGUAGCCGGCCUGAGAGGGUGACCGGCCACAUUGGGACUGAGAUACGGCCCAGACGCAUACGGGAGGCAGCAGUGGGGAAUAUUGCACAAUGGGCGGAAGCCGGACGCAGCAACGCCGCGUGCGGGAUGACGGCCUUCGGGUUGUAAACCGCUUUCGCCUGUGACGAAGCGUGAGUGACGGUAAUGGGUAAAGAAGCACCGGCUAACUACGU
rnacentral:rRNA from 1 species